rnacentral:rRNA from 1 species
UACGUAGGGGGCAAGCGUUGUCCGGAUUUAUUGGGCGUAAAGAGCGUGUAGGCGGCCAGACAGGUCAGCUGUGAAAACUCGAGGCUCAACCUCGAGACGUCGGUUGAAACCGUCUGGCUAGAGUCCGGAAGAGGAGAGUGGAAUUCCCGGUGUAGCGGUGAAAUGCGCAGAUAUCGGGAGGAAUACCAACGGCGAAGGCAGGUCACUGGGCAGUUACUGACACUGAGGCACGAAGGCCAGGGGAGCAAACGGG